UACCAGCACCCCGAGUGGUCGGGACGUUUAUUGGGCCUAAAGCAUCCGUAGCCGGUUCUGCAAGUCUUCCGUUAAAUCCACCUGCUUAACAGAUGGGCCGCGGAAGAUACUAUAGAGCUAGGAGGCGGGAGAGGCAAGCGGUACUCGAUGGGUAGGGGAAAAUCCGUUGAUCCAUUGAAGACCACCAGUGGCGAAGGCGGCUUGCCAGAACGCGCUCGACGGUGGAGGAUAGAAAGCUGGGGGAGCAACCGGG
rnacentral:rRNA from 1 species